UUUAGAAAAAAAUAGUCUUUUAUUUUGAUAAACAUGUAGAUAGCAGUAACUAUAAAGGCUAGUAUACUUAAUAUGUACAUUAUAUCUUUUAAAGGAGAAUCUGGGGCAUUUCCUUGUGUUAUAUACAAUAACAGAAUCAUGGUCCCUUCAGGUUAUUGUUCUUUUGUUUUAAUACAUACAUCUUGAGUUUCUUCUGCAUCCUUGUUCUCCUUGACAUCAGCCACUCUGUCAAAUCCUCUGGAGCAAGGACUAACUCCUUACAUCUGUGUGUCCCUUUUUAUUUCAGAGGUGCAGCCUUUGACUGCUUGUGAGUAAGAAUCUGAGACUGUCUUUAUGUCUCUCACACAAGGCUUCCAGGAAGAAAUGCUUACUCUGUAU
rnacentral:lncRNA from 1 species